CAGCAGCCACGGGAAUACGUAGGGUGCAAGCGUUAAUCGGAAUUACUGGGCGUAAAGCGUGCGCAGGCGGUUAUAUAAGACAGAUGUGAAAUCCCCGGGCUCAACCUGGGAACUGCAUUUGUGACUGUAUAGCUAGAGUACGGCAGAGGGGGAUGGAAUUCCGCGUGUAGCAGUGAAAUGCGUAGAUAUGCGGAGGAACACCGAUGGCGAAGGCAAUCCCCUGGGCCUGUACUGACGCUCAUGCACGAAAGCGUGGGGAGCAAACAGGAUUAGAUACCGUGUAGUCCCUGUCUCUUAUACA
rnacentral:rRNA from 1 species